GGAAGUCAAAGUGGCUACAAUGGUAAAAAGUUGCAUUUCACUUUCUGGCAAGAAGCUUCUUUGGAAGCUUGUCCAAAGGGGUAGACUUGAGCAAGAAAAGCCUGGCUGCCCUCUCUUGCAAAGUACCUCCACACUUCAAGCCACGUGCUUGCAGUUCGGACUUUAGCCUUUCCAAACCAAGAACCUCCAUUUCAGCGGCAGAACUAAAAUCAUCAAAAUUCAGAGAUGCUUCUGAACUGCUUGCAAUUACAGUUGUUUCCUCGUGGUCCCUCAACUUAGAUACUGGAGGGCCAUUUGGUUCAGGACCCGUGGACAAAUCUUCAAUAAUUUCACCAUUAUUUGGAUCUGUGAUAUCUUGAUGAUUAGCAGAUACGUUUUUGGAGUUGGCAAUUUCAACCUCACGAGCAUCCUGUUUUGCAGCCUCGUCUUCUUGAUGGGCAGAAACAGCAACAGCCUCCGAACAAGGUACAACUGCACUCUGAGUAGUCUGAUCAUUCAUUUCAACCACGACAACCUGCUCAGAUUGAAGAGUUUUUUCACUAGAGCUUCCAACUAAUUCCAUGGUUUCCUGCACUGCCAUGUCCUUUUCUUCCUCAGAACCACUUUCACAUGAGGAUCCACCCGAACCAUCCCCACUUUUACCAAAGUUAACAGAGUCUGAACUCCCUUCAGUGUCCUUAUUUAAAUCAGAUCGACCAACAUUCAAGAUGACUGAUUUCUCACUUUCCUCUUCAUUUUCAGUGUCGUCCUCAUCCGAAUCAUCGCUGUCACUUUCACCCAUUUUCCUCUUGCCCAUCCAGAUUUUCAACUUUUUGGCAUCUGCACCAAUGGCCAUCGAACCAGCCUUCCUUUUUCCAUUCAUCACCGCAUCUCUCACAGAUUCCUCCACCUCAGCCACACAACGAGCAGACUCCUCCCGAUACUUCUCAACGUACUUUUGAGCCGCAGAAUCCCCAACCCCCUUCUUCCCAACCUUCGCUUUCUUCUUCAGAAACUC
rnacentral:misc_RNA from 1 species